CGAAGGACUCAAAAAUGAAAAUAAAUCAGCAAAAAUUGGACCUUAUUGAUUUUAGAUUAUAAUUGAUUCAAUUAAAUACUUUGGUCUACAGUUACUGAAUGGGGAGCACUUCUACCCAAACGUUUAUUAUGUGUAACAUUGUAUUGACUUAAAAGGAGAAACCACAGGCAUUGAAUUCCACUCUCCCAAUGAGAUCACAUCAUUCUAAAGGAGUGAACAGCAUCUUACCUACUAGUAAGGCUACUUUAGGUUUGUGUAGACAAACUAUUUUCAUAACGCCUUACAUUAUGCAUCUGGUAUAGAGGACUUAAAGGCUGGAAACUCUUCAUUGAGGACAGUAAGAUGAAUAUUGAGACUUUUACUCAUGGUAUAUGUUCUCAUGUUCUCCAGUUUGUGUGGUCAGGUGAAUGGAUGUAGAAAAGGUAUCUGAAUGAUAAGAGCACCCUAAGCCAAAGCAAUGUUGAAUCUUAGCCAGGUAAAAAACAAAAAUUAUUAUAGAGUGUAUACUAUACUUGUUAUUAAACCAACAUAUGGAAGGAACCUAGAAUUCUCCAGAAUUCCAUGCGAGCUCUAGAGAGAAUAAAAACCAAGUCUUCUGACCACCCAACCGACUCACAGACUGACGAAAUCUAGGUUGUUUUUGUAAGUAUUAAGCAGACCUCCCCAGUCACCAUUGUCUGUGGUUGUUAGAUCAUGAUUUGAUUUAAAGAUGCAAUUAAACAUUACUAGUGCGUUCAUUAGCUAAACUGGGAAACUGUGGAGAACGUGCACGGGAAAGGACAAAUUUAGACCAAAGUAGCUGAAUUGGAAGAAUUCUCCAAAUCAAACACUUUCUUAGCUAGCUUGGCUUUUUUGACAAAUAAUUUGCUGUUCUGCACAAUCGUUCUGACAGAAAUCCCUGCAUUUCUGUCAGUUUUAAAACAAAUAAUAGAUAUUUUCUUUUUAUAAAACUGGUGCUUUGAAUGGAUUUUAAGUAACAGAUAUAAUUCUGAAAGAGAACGUUAUAGCAAUUCAAUAAUGAGAAAUGCAUUUAAAUAACAAUGAUGUCAAUUUAUAGUUUUUUGAACAUUCGGAUAUGUGCCCAC